UUUAUGUUAUUUUGGUUCAUAUCAGUAGUUUUUUAUGUUAUGUUGGUUCAUAUCAGUAAUUUUUUAUGUUAUCUUUAUUUCUCAUUAGUUUAGCAACCGUGUUUAGGAGUUUUAUGAGCUGUCUCCCGGGUUUGGGGAGUUUGGGGAGUUUGGGGAGUUUGGGAUGUUUUAUGACCACUUAGUCUCUGUCAGAUGGUCAUAUAUCCUAACUCUAUGUUUUCUUAAGUUUCUGUAGUUGAUAAAGCCACCUGGAAAAAGGCGUCUAAGUUCUUAUCUACAUUUAAGAAUCCUGGUUUUAGCUUCUCUUUGUCUGUUGGGGAUGAAGUUGGGGGGGUGGUUACCGAGGUUUCGCAAUCAGGACAGAGAAGGGUUAACAAGAGAAAUUCCUGGCUGGCAGAAGAGACUUUGAAGUUAUCACAGUAAAGGAAGGGAGGGGGAGCAGUGGUCAUAAAGUAUGUCCUUGGCUGCCAGUGUUCCUGAAAAAAAAGUUUUUGUUAACUCCUCUGACUAAAGUCAGAUUCUCUGUUCAGUGUUCACACAGUUUUGUCAGUUGCAGGCAGCCAUUGUCCUGUACAGAGCAGGACAUGAGAAUCUUAGCCCGCCUGUGCCGAGAGCAUGCACCCCCACCCUUG